rnacentral:rRNA from 1 species
AACGAACGCUGGCGGCAGGCUUAACACAUGCAAGUCGAACGCCCCGCAAGGGGAGUGGCAGACGGGUGAGUAACGCGUGGGAACAUACCCUUUUCUACGGAAUAGCCCUGGGAAACUGGAAUUAAUACCGUAUACGCCCUACGGGGGAAAGAUUUAUCGGGGAAGGAUUGGCCCGCGUUGGAUUAGCUGGUUGGUGGGGUAAAGGCCUACCAAGGCGACGAUCCAUAGCUGGUCUGAGAGGAUGAUCAGCCACAUUGGGACUGAGACACGGCCCAAACUCCUACGGGAGGCAGCAGUGGGGAAUAUUGGACAAUGGGCGCAAGCCUGAUCCAGCCAUGCCGCGUGAGUGAUGAAGGCCUUAGGGUUGUAAAGCUCUUUCACCGAUGAAGAUAAUGACGGUAGUCGGAGAAGAAGCCCCGGCUAACUUCGUG